rnacentral:rRNA from 2 species
CGACCUCGGAUCAGGUAGGGAUACCCGCUGAACUUAA